CUCUGGCAAGAAGAGGAUCGGAAUAGCGCACUCUCCAGAGCGUGUUUGUUUGUCCACAGCAAAGGAGACCAGAAACAUGGAGACCACUUCGAGGCCAGAUUGGCCUACCAGGACAGCAGGAGAUUUUCCAGUGGGCUGCAGCAGCUGGGUUUGACAAACCACCACUGCACAGCCCUUGGUUUUUGAGAACAGAAACAUCCAAUUGAAGAAUGGAAUACGCAGGGAUGCAACUACAG